UAGAAAGAAACCAAAGAUCAAACCCUGUUUUCAGGUCCAGAACAUGGAAUAGAGCAGCUGCCAGAGAAUUCAGCAUUAAUGAAUCAAUGGUACAGACGUAGAGGAAGCAAGAAGAAUGAGUUGAGUAAAGUUUGACUUAUCUGACUGUUUUGUUUCGCUUAAUGCACCUUAUAAUCCGGUGCGCCUAAUGGUCUGAAAAAUGCGCUAAUUUCUACGUUCCUUUAGCAUGUCCAGAAGUCAGACUUUUUGUCUGAUAGUUAGCAUCUUCCUCUGCUUUCAGCAGACGAAACGGUGCGAAACGUUUCAUCGACCUUGUUGUGUUUGUUGGGGAGAAAACUUACAAACAUACAGCACAGUACUUCAGAGUCACACUGCUAACGAUGGAAGAAUUAUGUAAAUUUGACAAGCUGAACGCAUUUUUUACUGUACAGGAGACACGGCACGGAGGAGACUGAAUGAAAAUGGUCUACAGUCGAUCAGGACGCAGAACACAACGCGUUGUAAAAAAAACAAAACAAAAAAACAACAACAACCCAUGAAAAAUUGCAAAAAAAAAUCUGCAAAACAGCAAGGCCGCAAAAAGUGAACUGCUUUAUAGCGAAGGACCACUGUAUUGGCAAAAAAUAUGUUUAACAAGGUGUCUUCGAGCUGGUCAUUACUGUAAUGAAGUGUAUAACUGUGCUGGUGCUUCUGGGAGUUUCAAUCCUUAUCUUCAAACGACUGUGUGUCCAAGGAGAUACAGGAGCACCUCCAGCAGCCAGAAGAUGCAGCAAACUCAAUUUGUGUCACUCCCAGCAUUCCCACAGAUGUUGCUGCCUCACCACAUUAUGCUAGCAUCAACUUUCAAAGCUGCUCUGGUAGUGA
ensembl:lncRNA